GACGAACGCUGGCGGCGUGCCUAAUACAUGCAAGUAGAACGCACAGUUUAUACCGUAGCUUGCUACACCAUAGACUGUGAGUUGCGAACGGGUGAGUAACGCGUAGGUAACCUGCCUGGUAGCGGGGGAUAACUAUUGGAAACGAUAGCUAGUACCGCAUAAUAUUGAUUAUUGCAUGAUAAUUGAUUGAAAGAUGCUAUUGCAUCACUACCAGAUGGACCUGCGUUGUAUUAGCUAGUAGGUGAGGUAACGGCUCACCUAGGCGACGAUACGGAGCCGCCAUGCGGGGGUGGUCGGCCACACUGGGAGUGGGACACGGCCCAGACUCCUACGGGAGGGAGCAGUAGGGAAUCUUCGGCAAGGGGCGAAAGUCUGACCGAGAAAGGCGGAGGGAGGAAAGAAGGUUUUCGGAUCGUAAAGCUCUGUUGUAAGAGAAGAACGGGUGUGAGAGUGGAAAGUUCACACUGUGACGGUAACUGACAAGAAAGGGACGGCUAACUACGUG
rnacentral:rRNA from 1 species